UUGAAAGGGAAACGAUUGAAGGCAGUCGUACCGACGAGAAAUCAACUUAUCGUGUGCGNNNUUGUGGGCGUGCGUGAGUUUCGGCCUCGCUGUUUGCAUGUUUGUGUGCUUUGGGUGUACUUUUUCGUAUGGUAGGCCAACGUCAGUUUCGAUCACUAUAAAAUGACUGGCGGAAUGUAGCUUCGAUUUCGGUUGAAGCGUUAUAGCCUCUGGUAGAUGUGGUGAUUGGGACUGAGGAUUGCAACGAAUAUCCUUUGGGCUAUCCGUCUGAUCUCUGAAAGUUGCUCAGGUGCCGAAAGCGUGCUUACGGUUAUCUAAGUUGACGGUCAACAGGUUAGAACGUGAUUACAUUCGUUAAGGAUGUUGACGUA
rnacentral:rRNA from 1 species